UUUGCAUGAUGAUCAAGGUCAAAAAUAAACAGUUCUGCUUCUGAAUCACAAGUUGAAGAAGUCCUUUACCAAACAGCUUACCAAUGUCUGAUCG
rnacentral:snoRNA from 1 species